rnacentral:rRNA from 1 species
AGACCCGAAACCCGGUGAUCUAGCCAUGGGCAGGUUGAAGGUUGGGUAACACUAACUGGAGGACCGAACCGACUAAUGUUGAAAAAUUAGCGGAUGACUUGUGGCUGGGGGUGAAAGGCCAAUCAAACCGGGAGAUAGCUGGUUCUCCCCGAAAGCUAUUUAGGUAGCGCCUCGUGAAUUCAUCUCCGGGGGUAGAGCACUGUUUCGGCAAGGGGGUCAUCCCGACUUACCAACCCGAUGCAAACUGCGAAUACCGGAGAAUGUUAUCACGGGAGACACACGGCGGGUGCUAACGUCCGUCGUGAAGAGGGAAACAACCCAGACCGCCAGCUAAGGUCCCAAAGUCAUGGUUAAGUGGGAAACGAUGUGGGAAGGCCCAGACAGCCAGGAUGUUGGCUUAGAAGCAGCCAUCAUUUAAAGAAAGCGUAAUAGCUCACUGGUCGAGUCGGCCUGCGCGGAAGAUGUAACGGGGCUAAACCAUGCACCGAAGCUGCGGCAGCGACACUGUGUGUUGUUGGGUAGGGGAGCGUUCUGUAAGCCUGUGAAGGUGUACUGUAAGGUAUGCUGGAGGUAUCAGAAGUGCGAAUGCUGACAUAAGUAACGAUAAAGCGGGUGAAAAGCCCGCUCGCC